CAAAUCACAGCCAAUCUACUUCCUGUAAAUUCCUGUAUAUCUCUGCACAUGGGCUGAUGAAGAAGAAAAGCUCAAAGAAGAAGCAUACAGCUGGCUCACUUCAUGGACGUCCUGAGCUCCACCUAAUGUUUGGCUGCGGGGCUUAGUAUCUGCUCCCAUCAGUUGCUAGAUGAAUUCCCUCUGGUUGUCUUGAUAAUGAUUCUGCUGGACCAUGGUUCCAGAACACUCUGAAGAUUGGAAAAACUAUAGAUCAAAGGUUUUAUGGCUGGAACAUGUCCUCACCCAACCUGCAACAUGGGUUCGAAGUCUUAUGAUUUUUCAAACAUCUGAAAUGACAAGACCACAGUCAGAAGUAUAAUACCUAACAUCCUAAGGACUAGAGAGAACCAAGAGAGAUGGAACUGGGAUCAGUUAAAGUGCUUCCCUGAUGGAUAACUGUCCACUGUUCUUCUAAGAAGGGGGAUGCUGAACAUCUCUGAAUAUAAACAUGGAAACCUUCCAUAACAUCUGCUGCUAAUUUCUGCCAGCUGAAAAGUGAUAAUGAUGAUGAAUACUUUUGUUGAUGAUGUGGAUACAUUGGUCUAACUAAAUUAACUUGCAGACUCAGGGCAUAUAAUUGAAAACACAUGAUUUGUGGUAUCACCUGGUUGGCUUUAUGGGUAGUUACAUAUUUAAUUGUUCCAAUACGUUUAACUUUAAAAAGCUAAAAGGGUAAAAUAAACCAGAAUAUUGGUAUAAUGUCA
rnacentral:lncRNA from 1 species